rnacentral:lncRNA from 1 species
CGUGGCUUCAUUCUUGAAGUCAGUGAGACCAAGAACCCACCAAUUUCGGACACACUAGGCUCUGACAAGCAACUCUGCAAAGCAGAAGUGAUGCUUGAAACCACAGCAGCCAUUUUGGGGCCACGAGGCAAUAAGCACAAGGAUAAAAAGCCAAGAACCAAAGAUGGAGAAUCAAGGGUGUAAUGAACCUAGAUGAUAUGAUAUGACAGAGUCCUGAACUGCUAGACUUCUUACUAGGAGUCCCAGUGUCUCCUGAGGAAAUCCCUUUCCCAUUCAGCCGGCAGCUGCAGCAGGUGGGAUGGGCCAGACCAGCCCUCUGGGGAUGCUGAUCCCAGGGAGCAUCCAGGCCGGAAGGUCCAAACGGGCAAGUGACUCAUUUGCUUUUCCUCCCUUGGUCAUGUCUAUGACUCAUACACUUUCAUUCAGUCCCAAGUAUGAGAAAGGAACAUCAAAAAGUCCAAGAUGUUAUCAAAUAUUUGAUGAAAAAGAAAAUUCCCCUCUCAUAUGACCCUUACAGAAAAUGUUUAUUUAGUCUUUUCAUUUUGUUGACAUUUCUUUGAUUUAUCAACAUUGAGAAGGUACAGUGAGGAGAAGGAAGGCUGUUAAGUGAGACAAAGGAGGGUUAGGAUGGCUCAGUCAUUGCUCCCCCGAGGGAGUGAUCUAAGCUGCUCACCCACAGACAGAAAGGGUAAAUGGG